GCUCAGAUUGAACGCUGGCGGCAUGCUUUACACAUGCAAGUCGAACGGCAGCACGAAAGAGCUUGCUCUUUUGGUGGCGAGUGGCGAACGGGUGAGUAAUGCAUCGGAACGUACCGAGUAAUGGGGGAUAACUAUCCGAAAGGAUAGCUAAUACCGCAUACGCUUUGAGAAGGAAAGUGGGGGCUCUUCGGACCUCACGUUAUUCGAGCGGCCGAUGUCUGAUUAGCUAGUUGGUGGGGUAAAGGCCUACCAAGGCGACGAUCAGUAGCGGGUCUGAGAGGAUGAUCCGCCACACUGGGACUGAGACACGGCCCAGACUCCUACGGGAGGCAGCAGUA
rnacentral:rRNA from 1 species